CAGCUUGUGUAAUGGAGCUGGGAUUCUAUAGAAAAAAAAGUAACAAUAGCUAUCUGUUCACAGGCUAUGACAAUCCUUCAGAGCCCCCAUCUCCAGAUCUGUCGAUCCUCAUUAGACUAACCACAUGGUUGUUACUUCCUUUAAAAUGUAGCGGGGAGAGGAGAGAGAAUGAGCAUAACUGACACAGUUAACAGAGAGUCACUGACCAGCUAGCUGCCUCCCAUGGUCUCCAGAUCGUGGUAAAAGCCCAAAGGAUUUUGUGAGUGUCCAGUGGAACUACGGCGGUUAGUCCAGAGUCUGACCUGCCUGACCCCAAAUCGACAUUGAAUUGGAAAGCUGAAAAUACUACAAAGAAGCUUGAUUGAAAUAUCUGACAGCUGAACGCUAGUCUGCCAACACCUGCCCUCACCAUUAAUCCAGCAACGCAUGGAACUCUCAAACAGCAACAUCUAUGGUCCGCAAAAAAGCACUGCUUGGAACUCCCAUCAUGUGAGAAGGUUUUCUCCGACGGUGGAAUGAGCUGCUGAACCACAUCAUCAGAUUCCCUCUGCACCUUCAAGACACGCCCCACCCGUUCCAGGAACUCCUCUACCAGGAACUCCUCUACCAGGAACUCCUCUACCAGCCCAGCGCCUCUUUACAUUCCCUGAAUGCGCUUAUGGUUGCACUUCUGCUCCUUGAAUAGACUCAUUCGGUUCUUCCUUUGUUAGAGGUUGUUGUGUAGGUCCUGCUCCAAUCUUGCUUAUACUUUUCCCUCGGCGUUCACUGGAAGCUCAGUCUAGCCGCAGUUACACCUAGUCGACCCCUUUACAGCAGAAAAUUGGUACGAUGCUGGAUACGUAGACUGUAAGCUCACGUGUGACCUGAGCCAGGAGACGCAGUUCUAGAUGACUCUACAGGAGAAUGCUGAACCAUCUCUGAGGCGCGAGCGAAGCGUAGCUGAGCCUGCAGGAGGACGAUGAAGAGAAGCGUGACCCACAUCAGCCCUGAUCAAAUGCCAGCCAGUCCAUCUCAGCACGCAUGCAACCCGGCUACAGUUUGCAUGCUUUACACUUGAAAACCACCGGUUCACGCUUCGGCUCAGUACUUGGAAGCAGGUAGAGAGGCUCCAACGUAGACUGUCCAGGCAGCCUUCAAACCAGAAGACCGCUUGCGAGGUGAGUGCGUUGCCCAAGCAGCCCGUGUUCAGUCCUCCGUCUCCAGAUUCAAAACAUAAGUAAAUAUUAGAAUUGCUCAGACUUUAGUUGCAGUUACCGGGAUGCCGCCUGACGGCAUAGAGCCGUAUAGCUUCAGGUCUUCGAAUAUGGAGCGACGUGAGGUGGAAGUUAAGAGACUAACCCAGGGAUAAACUCCUAGUUAAUUGUUGGCCUUUCUCGCCUUGUCACCACCGUCUCUAUUCAUCAGGGACCGCCCACACUUCUUCCCCUCCUCCCCCAUCACCCCCUUACGCAUCCCGUCUUCAGUCACACACACGCCUGCCAGUCGGCUUUCCUCUGUACCCAGGAAGCAGGGGGGUCUGACUGGCAGCACAAAGUCUCGUCUCUGGCAGCCCCCCAGCAUGGCACCCCUGCUUCGGGACGGUUCUAAGGCCUUGCUCUCCCGCUCGACUCGCGUGGGCACGCUGCCUCCUGACAGCUUCCGCUUUCAUACGCAUAUGUGAAGGGGGAACAAUAACGGAGCCGCCAAAGGAGCAGGAAGGGAGCGUUACAAAAAGGGAAGAAAAAAAAAAACAAAAUCUUCCGUUAAAAUGACAAACACCUGAGAAAAAGGAGAGCGAAUCUCAUCUUUUCUUCAUGUACCAGAUUGUAGAUGAGAAAAAAAAUAAUAAAAAUAAACCCACCCAGUUCUCCUCGACUGAAUGAAGAUAGCGAGCGUUUAGCCUCAUCGCAGGAACUCGCCGGGACGAGACGAGAGGCGAGAGAACAUGACAGAGAUGUCGGUUCUGCGGCAGCGAAAUGGAUGCUGGGAAAUUAGCGGUCACUGCAGUUUGAGUCGCAUUGAUCUGUGGGGGGAAGCAACAGACCCACUGCAGUCCCACUCAAAGUUCUGCCAUAAAAAGUCCAAUAACACAUUCCUGACAUUUACUAAUCCAGUCUAGCUGCUAUAAAGCAAAAAAAAAAAAGUGUGAAUCCUCAUUUAAAUUUCCAAUAGGGAAGGGGAAAAAAAAUCUCUAAUGAACUAAUGAUCCUUCAGCCCUUCCUGCGGAUUCCCCCGAGACCUCACACGACUCAUCAUUAUCACCGCAAUACGAAUAGUGCAGCUGUAGUAGCAUUAGCAUACAAUUAAACUCGCAUCCUCGUCAGUUGUUACUCCUCGGAAAUGUUUGCGGCCGCCUUUGUGCUACUUUUCCGCAUGUUAUUGUUUGUUUUUCAGUCUCAUCGCGGAUUCUUGCAGCUACGCCUGGUGUAGGCAGGGAUCCUGACAAGCCAGAAGCCAGCUCACAGGUGCGGCGUGAGAACUUAAGGCCACAAAACCCAACGAUUGACUCAUCCUGAAUGGAGCGUCGCCAAACGUCACAGAGCCAGAGUGCGGGUCCGUGGUCAUGGCUGAUUUAUGGCGAUUUAAAAAGGUCCGGCCCGCUUUGCUGUGCACAAACGAAACCCCCCCUGACCCCCAUCACUCAGCUGCUCGCAUAUAUGAUCAAGGCUGCAGGAAGUAAGACCUCUUCAGUAGGCUGUCGGCCAUGGACUCCUUCCUGGACAAGAACCCAACCCAUAUGAAACAGAAACUAGGUUGUGUGUGUGUGUGUGUAUGUAUGUGUGUGUAUGUAUAGAUAGAUAUGUUGUUAAUCAUUCCAUCCAACCAUCCAUCAAUCCUUGACAUUACAUUGUUCUUAUUCAUUACUCAGUUUUUACCCUACAGUCAGUUUAUAUACUUAAGUACAUUUAUUUAUAUUCUGUCCUUCUGUGUGUGUGUGUCUCUGCGUGUCUAUAUAUACACACACACACAUACAUAUUUAAGACACAUGUAGUUGUAUAUUUAUUGUAUUCACUGUAUUUUUGCCUUGUAUCGUCAUACGCCUUUUGAACCACGUAAAAUUCCUUGUGCAUGUUUGUUCUUGGCCAAACAAAUCUUCAUUCUAUCCCAUGAUCCAUCUAUACAUUCCAUUUUCUAACCGCUUAUCCUGCCCAGGGUCGCAGGCAUAUAUGGUUAAACUUUAGGUGAAAUAUCAACUUUCCACCUUCGUAUGACAUUCAUAUGUGAAAUCUGGAGGAAAUAUGUUGACAGGUAGCGCACAGGUAUAAAAAUUAAAGCUGAGGUGCAGCUGUCAUGUCACCCAGGAUGAGUCCGUGGAAAUAUUUCACUGCAGGCGCCAUCACUGCAUCAGACAUGGCUGACUGCGGCAUCGUGUAUUUCGCUGUGAUGUGCACGUAUGACGAGAAGAACGCUCACAGCUACCGACUCGCCACACGUCAAUAAAUCUAAUAUCGCUUUGGAUCUGUGGGAGGACGACGUGCUUUAUUUUAUUUUUUUUUCACGCUCUGAAGGAACAGUCUGCAGCGCAGUUGUACGUUCAGUGCCAUAGCAACAAACCGUCGUGUCUGCUCCCGAAAACGAUGCGCGCGGUGGGCGGAAUUCCCCGGGUGGUGCCGCACUCCUAGGUGCGUUUUCCGCGACGAGAAUGAGUGGGAGUUUGUAGCUACGGGUGGCUAGUGAUGACAAGCGUUGGGGAAGGAGGUGGAAACGGGCCAGCGCCAGCAGUCUGGACUGUAGCGGUGCGGUCUGGCCUGCUUGGAGGACUCCGUGCCGCGUGGAGAUCAGGUGAUCAGGGUCCCACUGCGCGCCAUCUGUUCCGUGAGCCAUCCCGUCUCCGAGGCCGGCGUUGGGCCCCCCCAGA